rnacentral:rRNA from 1 species
GAUGAACGCUGGCGGCGUGCAUAACACAUUCAAGUCGAACGGUGACGGGACUUCGGUCCCUGAUCAGUGGCGGACGGGUGAGUAACGCGUGAGCAACCUGCCCUUGUGUGGGGGAUAACAUCUGGAAACGGAUGAUAAUACCGCAUAAUACAACGGAAUCGCAUGUUUCUGUUGCCAAAGAUUUAUUGCGAAAGGAUGGGCUCGCGUUGGAUUAGAUAGUUGGUGAGGUAACGGAUCACCAAGUCGACGAUCCAUAACCGGACUGAGAGGUUGAACGGCCACAUUGGAACUGAGAAACGGUCCAGACUCCUACGGGAGGCAGCAGUGGGGAAUAUUGGGCAAUGGGCGAAAGCCUGACCCAGCGACGCCGCGUGCGGGAAGACGGUCUUCGGAUUGUAAACCGCUUUUAUUAGGGACGAUAAUGACGGUACCUAAUGAAUAAGCCACGGCUAACUGCGUGCCAGCCGCCGCGGUAACAC